rnacentral:lncRNA from 1 species
CCAGCAGAAUAACCCACAUUCAGAAACUUUCAAUCAAGGCUGGAGAAAACACCCAAAUUUCUCUUGGAGCAACCAGAAUCAAAAUAGACCACAAGGGCAAUAUCAGCAGCAAGACAAAAAGCCAAAUUUGGAGGACAUGUUCGAGAAAUUUAUGACACACACCAAUCAGUACAUGGAAGCCAAUAACCAAUUUAUGCGAAGGACGGAAACAACGCUUCAAG